AGAUAUGCAUGGUAAAUAUGCGGGAACUAGGCGGGAAUUCAAAGAGACGCAGACAUUAAAAAGUCAAUGCAUUUCUGGGUUAGUAGACA
ensembl:ncRNA F59A3.14 ncRNA